GAGUUUGUUAGGGCAACAACGAAAACUGCUAAUUCUCGUUUCCAUGGUUCAACUCCACGGCCAACUCA
rnacentral:tRNA from 1 species